rnacentral:lncRNA from 1 species
CUUCCCUUUGUCGGACCAAAGAAGUAAACACUGUGUGGAGAGGGACUGACGUGUUUGGAGGGAAAUGGGAAUGUACACGAUAAUUAAAGAGUAAAGUUGUGCUCAACGGUAAGUCUGUUUACUUCUAAUUAUUUCCUGAUUCACAAAUUAAUUUUUGCAAUUCACAACUUCAAGAAUACUUGGACUAUUGGAUUCAAUCCAUAGUAAUCUGCAAAAGAAGAGAAGCAGAAUUAUACCUAGAAGUCUACUAAUGGACAGUUAGUCACCCACCUACAUGUUGAGAUUCCUGACAUUCAGACAACUGACUUGUAACUGACUUAUAACUGACUUGUAAUACACUGCUACUAUAUCAAACCGACAAUGAAUUGGAAUGAAAAACCAAAGAGUGCUACAUUACCACCACUGUAUCCUAAAAGCCAGCCACCUUUUUUGCACCAGUCUUUAAUAAACCAAAUUACCACAACAUCUCAGAGUUCUUUCAGCUAUCCUGGAAGUAACCAAGAAGCAUGCAUGUAUCCCGGUAAUUCAAAUCCAAUUUCACAGCCACUGCUGAAUAUCCAAAAUUAUCCUCAACAAAUUUCUGUUUCUGAUAUGCAUAAUGGGACAGUUGUGGCCUCACACACUUCAGUAGAAAGAAUAACAUAUGCAAAUGUUAAUGGACCCAAACAACUAACUCACAAUUUGCAGAUGUCUUCAGGAGUUACCCAAAACGUAUGGUUGAACUCACCAAUGAGGAAUCCUGUGCAUUCUCAUAUAGGGGCAACUGUAUCUCAUCAAACUGAUUUUGGAGCUAACGUACCCAAUAUGCCGGCACUACAGAGUCAACUGAUAACAUCAGAUACCUAUUCUAUGCAAAUGCAGAUGAUCCCUUCUAAUUCUACACGACUUCCUGUAGCUUACCAAGGAAAUCAGGGACUUAACCAGUCUUUUUCAGAGCAACAGGUUGAUUGGACACAACAGUGUAUAUCUAAGGGACUGACUUACCCAGAUUACAGACCACCUCCAAAGCUAUACCGUUACUCACCACAAAGCUUUUUACCAGAUUCUACCAUUCAAAAACAAAACUUUAUACCACAUACAUCAUUGCAAGUUAAAAAUAGUCAGCUUCUAAAUUCUGUAUUAACUUUACCAUCAAGGCAGACCUCAGCUGUACCAUCACAGCAGUAUGCCACGCAAACUGACAAAAGACCUCCUCCUCCUCCUUACAACUGUAGAUAUGGAAGCCAGCCUUUGCAAAGUACUCAGCAUAUUACUAAACACUUGUCUAUGGAAGUUCCUCAGAGUCGAGAAAUGCUGUCAUCUGAAAUAAGGACCAGCUUUCAACAGCAGUGGCAAAACCCUAAUGAAAAUGUCAGCACAAUUGGAAAUUUCACUAACUUGAAAGUAAAUACCAACAGCAAACAGCCUUUUAACAGUCCCAUUAGAUCUUCUGUGGAUGGUGUUCAGACUCUUGCUCAAACUAAUGAAGAGAAAAUAAUGGAUUCUUGCAAUCCAACUUCAAAUCAAGUACUGGACACAAGUGUUGCAAAAGAAAAGCUAGUAAGGGAUAUUAAAACAUUAGUAGAGAUAAAACAGAAGUUUUCAGAACUUGCAAGGAAAAUUAAAAUCAAUAAAGAUCUUUUGAUGGCAGCAGGUUGUAUUAAAAUGACUAAUACUUCUUAUAGUGAACCAGCUCAGAAUUCUAAAUUGUCUCUAAAACAAACUGCCAAAAUCCAGUCUGGACCCCAGAUAACUCCAGUAAUGCCAGAGAAUGCAGAGAGACAAACACCAACAGUAGUGGAAUCUGCAGAAACAAAUAAGACUCAAUGUAUGUUGAAUUCUGACAUUCAGGAAGUCAAUUGCAGAAGGUUUAACCAAGUUGAUUCUGUUUUACCAAAUCCUGUCUAUUCUGAAAAGCGGCCAAUGCCAGACUCAUCUCAUGAUGUGAAAGUUCUCACUUCAAAGACAUCAGCUGUUGAGAUGACCCAGGCAGUAUUGAAUACUCAGCUUUCAUCAGAAAAUGUUACCAAAGUUGAGCAAAAUUCACCAGCAGUUUGUGAAACAAUUUCUGUUCCCAAGUCCAUGUCCAC